AACGAACGCUGGCGGCAGGCUUAACACAUGCAAGUCGAGCGCCCCGCAAGGGGAGCGGCAGACGGGUGAGUAACACGUGGGAACGUGCCCAAAGGUACGGAACAACUCCGGGAAACUGGAGCUAAUACCGUAUGUGCCCGAGAGGGGAAAGAUUUAUCGCCUUUGGAUCGGCCCGCGUCUGAUUAGCUAGUUGGCGGUGUAAUGGACCACCAAGGCGACGAUCAGUAGCUGGUCUGAGAGGAUGACCAGCCACACUGGGACUGAGACACGGCCCAGACUCCUACGGGAGGCUGCAGUGGGGAAUAUUGGACAAUGGGCGCAAGCCUGAUCCAGCCAUGCCGCGUGAGUGAUGAAGGCCUUAGGGUUGUAAAGCUCUUUCGCCGAGGACGAUAAUGACGGUACUCGGAUAAGAAGCCCCGGCUAACUUCGUGCCAGCCGCCGCAGUAA
rnacentral:rRNA from 1 species